rnacentral:rRNA from 1 species
AGAGUUUGAUCCUGGCUCAGGACGAACGCUGGCGGUGUGCUUCACACAUGCAAGUCGAACGAGGUAGCAAUACCUAGUGGCGGACGGGUGAGUAACGCGUGGGAAUCUGCCUUUAGAUGGGGGAUAACGAGCCGAAAGGUUCGCUAAUACCGCAUAUGCCGCAAGGUGAAAGGAGUAAUCCGUCUAAAGAUGAGCCCGCGUCCGAUUAGCUAGUUGGUGGGGUAAAGGCCUACCAAGGCGACAAUCGGUAGCUGGUCUGAGAGGAUGAUCAGCCACAAUGGGACUGAGACACGGCCCAUACUCCUACGGGAGGCAGCAGUGGGGAAUUUUACGCAAUGGGGGAAACCCUGACGUAGCGACACCGCGUGAGCGAAGAAGCCCCUUGGGGUGUAAAGCUCUGUCAGCUGGAACGAAACAAAUGACGGUACCAGCAGAGGAAGCAUCGGCUAACUACGUGCCAGCAGCCGCGGUAAGACGUAGGAUGCGAGCGUUGUCCGGAUUUAUUGGGCGUAAAGAGUUCGUAGGUGGUUUGUUAAGUUUGAUGUUAAAGAUCGGGGCUCAACCUCGGGACAGCAUUGAAUACUGGCAGACUUGAGUAUGGUAGAGGCUAGUGGAAUUCCCAGUGUAGCGGUGAAAUGCGUAGA